rnacentral:rRNA from 1 species
UACGGGGGCAAGCGUUGUUCGGAAUUACUGGGCGUAAAGGCUCGUAGGUGGCCAACUAAGUCAGACGUGAAUCCUCGGCUUAACCGGAACUGCGUCUGAUACUGGAUGGCUUGAGUUCGAGAGGAUGCGAAUUCCAGGUGUAGCGGUGAAUGCGUAGAUAUCUGAGACACCGGUGCGAGCGCAUCUAGACGACACUGACACUGAGAGCGA